UACGUAGGGUGCAAGCGUUGUCCGGAAUUAUUGGGCGUAAAGAGCUCGUAGGCGGUUUGUCGCGUCUGCCGUGAAAGUCCGGGGCUCAACUCCGGAUCUGCGGUGGGUACGGGCAGACUAGAGUGAUGUAGGGGAGACUGGAAUUCCUGGUGUAGCGGUGGAAUGCGCAGAUAUCAGGAGGAACACCGAUGGCGAAGGCAGGUCACUGGGCCGCAACUGACGCUGAGGAGCGAAAGCAUGGGGAGCGAACAGG
rnacentral:rRNA from 1 species